CCUACGGGAGGCAGCAGUAGGGAAUCUUCGGCAAUGGACGAAAGUCUGACCGAGCAACGCCGCGUGAGUGAGGAAGGCCUUCGGGUCGUAAAGCUCUGUUGUUAGGGAAGAACAAGUACCGUUCGAACAGGGCGGUACCUUGACGGUACCUAACCAGAAAGCCACGGCUAACUACGUGCCAGCAGCCGCGGUAAUACGUAGGUGGCAAGCGUUGUCCGGAAUUAUUGGGCGUAAAGCGCGCGCAGGCGGUCUCUUAAGUCUGAUGUGAAAGCCCACGGCUCAACCGUGGAGGGUCAUUGGAAACUGGGGGACUUGAGUACUGGAGAGGAGAGUGGAAUUCCAUGUGUAGCGGUGAAAUGCGUAGAUAUAUGGAGGAACACCAGUGGCGAAGGCGGCUCUCUGGCCAGUAACUGACGCUGAGGCGCGAAAGCGUGGGGAGC
rnacentral:rRNA from 1 species